CUGACCAGCACGCAUGGGUCGACGUUUGAACAAACGAGCCCGUUCCAAUUGCCCCAUCAUGGGGCAGAUGGAUGCGUUAUUGUCAG
rnacentral:ncRNA from 1 species